UAUCAGCAUGGCCCCUGUGCAAGGAUGACACACAAAUUUCUGAAGCAUUCCUCUUUUUU
rnacentral:snRNA from 1 species